GACGAACGCUGGCGGCGUGCUUAACACAUGCAAGUCGAACGGUGAAGCGCCUUCCUUUUUGGUGGGUGUGGAUGAGUGGCGAACGGGUGAGUAACACGUGAGUAACCUGCCCCCUUCUUCUGGAUAACCGCAUGAAAGUGUGGCUAAUACGUGAUACUCCGUGUCUGUCUCUUGAUGGGUCUGGGUAAGUGAUUGUUUCUGUGGGGGAUGGGCUCGCGGCCUAUCAGCUUGUUGGUGGGGUGGUGGCCUACCAAGGCAGUGACGGGUAGCCGGCCUGAGCGGGUGGACGGUCACACUGGGAGUGAGACACGGCCCAGACUCGUAAGGGAGGAGGAGGGGGUGAUUAUUGCACAAUGGGCGCAAGACUGAUGCAGGGACGGCGCGUGAGGGAUGGAGGCGUGCGGGUUGUGAACCUCUUUCGCCAGUGAAGCAGGCCUGCCUCGUUUGUGGGUGGGUUGACGGUAGCUGGAUAAGAAGCGCCGGCUAACUACGUG
rnacentral:rRNA from 1 species